rnacentral:rRNA from 1 species
UACGUAGGGGGCUAGCGUUGUCCGGAAUCAUUGGGCGUAAAGCGCGUGUAGGCGGUCCGGUAAGUCCGCUGUGAAAGUCGGGGGCUCAACCCUCAGAUGCCGGUGGAUACUGUCGGGCUUGAGUACGGAAGAGGCGAGUGGAAUUCCUGGUGGUAGCGGGUGAAAUGCGCAGAUAUCAAGGAGGAACACCAAUUGCGAAGGCAGCUCGCUGGGACGUU